GUGCUCACUUCAGUAGCAUAUGUACUAAAACUAAAACAAUACAGAGAAUAGCAUAGCAUGGCCUCUGCACAAGGAUCACAUGCAAAUUUGAGAAGUGUUCCAUAGGUUU
ensembl:snRNA U6 U6 spliceosomal RNA